UCUACAAAACGUUCAGCAUCUGUCAAAGCAAUGGAGAAAAUCUAUAUGAAUGUUCAUCCUGUGAAAGCUGUCUGUCAAAUUCCUGUUAGAAAAAAUGAAGGUUCUGGCAGCUCUAAGAAGAGGCUCUAUGUGGGUGUUAUCAUCUCUCUGGGGCUUCUGAAUGUUUUCCUGCUGAUUGGACUCAUCAGCCUUGGUGUUUUCUACAAUCUGACUGAUCGUCUCCAGGACAGCAAUAACCAGCUUUCUGCAAUGAUUGAAGAAAGAGAUCGUCUGAAUGCAACCCUCACAGAAAUGUCUAACGAGAUGAUCAGGCUUCAGAGUUUGUUGAAGAAAACCAGAGAAGACUGCAGGAACAGAGGAGGAGAUCUGGUGGUGAUAAAUGACGAUGAU